ensembl:lncRNA
AAACAAACAAAAAACUCAAACGGGUAUUGGUGAUCUUUAAACAAACAAAUAAACAAACAAACAAAAACUCAAACGGGUACUGGUGAUCUUUAAACAAACAAACAAACAAACAAACAAACAAACAAACAAACAAAAAACUCAAACAGGUACAAGUGAUCUUUAAACAAACAAACAAACAAACAAACAAAAAAACAAACAAACACUCAAACAGGUACAGGUGAUCUUUAAACAAACAAACAAACAACAAAAACUCAAACAGGUACAGGUGAUCUUUAAACAAACAAACAAUCAAACAAACAAAAAACUCAAACAGGUACUGGUGAUCUUUAAACAAACAAACAAACAAACAAACAAACAAACAAACAAAAAACUCAAACAAGUACAAGUGAUCUUUAAACAAACAAACAAACAAACAAACAAACAAACAAACAAACACUCAAACAGGUACAGGUGAUCUUUAAACAAACAAACAAACAACAAAAACUCAAACAGGUACAGGUGAUCUUUAAACAAACAAACAAUCAAACAAACAAAAAACUCAAACAGGUACUGGUGAUCUUUAAACAAGCAAACAAACAAACAAACAAACAAACAAAAAAACAAACAAACACUCAAACAGGUACAGGUGAUCUUUAAACAAACAAACAAACAAACAAACAAACAAACAAACAAACAAAAAACUCAAACAG